AAAUGUAUGUUACAGAAUUUUAGUGGCUUUCUCUAAAGAAAUUUGGCCUUUGUCCCGUGAGGCAGCUAAGUUACUUUAAGAUCAUAUUGAUCCUCUUGAUAUUGAGGAUUGAGUCUUGUUUUUAAGUUUUAUGAGAGCUGGUCUGGAAUAGUCUCUACUCUACAGAUUUUUGUUUGUUCGUUUGUUUUGAGACAGAAUCUCCCUCUGUUGCCCAGACAGGCUGGAGCACAGUGGCGCCAUCUUGGCUCACUGCAACCUCCAACUCGCGGGUUCAAGUGAUUCUCAUGCCUCAGCCUUCUGAGUAGCUGGAACUACAGGCAUGCGCCAGCACACCCAGCUAAGCUUUGUAUUUUUAGUAGAGAUGGGGUUUUGUCAUAUUGGCCAGGUUGGUCUCAAACUCCUGGCCUCAAGUGAUCCACCCAUCUUGGCCUCCCAAAAUGCUGUGAUUACAGGCUUGAGCCACUGUGCUCAGCCAGAUCUACAGAUAAUUUUGCUCUACUACUAAUACAUGACCCUUCUGUUCUUUACUAAAUGCCAAGGGUGUUUAAUGAAGACUCUUCACUCUGGCUGGUCAGAGCUUGAAUGUGUCCUAACCUUGUGUGAGCUCUGAUAAAUUUCCACUUUACAACUCUCUACAUGUUCUUUAUCUAGCUUUGUGGUGUUCACCCUUUUGUGCAUGGCUUAGACUUUGGCAUAAACUCAAGGGGACCCCUAAACAGAUUUCUGAAGCUCCUUUUCUAUAGAGUUCUUCUUAUGUAUAACUUUGCCCUGCUAUUUGCAACUACUGUAGGCUCCAUGAGUGCCAGUUUCUGUUCACCUCAACUAAACAAGACUUCCAUACUCUCCUGGGAUCUGUUAUCCUGCACCAUGGUCCAGAAUGUAUCCUCAGGGAGAAAGUUUAGGAUUCAUAGGGCUUACUAUGCUUAUUUUCCUUUUCUCAAGUUCACAGUUCUGUACCAUUUGUCUGAUGUAUGAAAAAAAUAGUUUCAUAUUUUGUCAUGUUUCCUAGUUAUUUUGGUAGAAGCAUAAGCAUGGGCCCUAUUACUCCAUCAUUGCUCAAAGCGAAAGUCAAGACGUGUAUUGCUUUAAGAGUGUGUAAUUAGGCUGGGUGCGGUGGCUCAUGCCUGUAAUCCCAGCACUUUGGGAGGCUGAGGCAGGUGGAUCACAAGGUCAUGAGUUCGAGACCAGCCACGCAAACAUGCUGAAACCCCGUCUUUACUAAAAAAAUACAAAAAUUAGCCAGGCAUGGUGGCAUGGGCCUGUAAUCCCAGCUACUCAGAAGGCUGAGGCAGGAGAAUGGCUUGAACCCGGGAGGCAGAGGUUGCAGUGAACCGAGAUUGUGCCAUUGCACUCCAGCCUGGUUGACAAGAGCAAGACUUCAUCACAAAAAAAAAAAAAAAAGAAAAAAACCCAAAAACAAGAUAGCCCAUGGAACAGAAUAGAGAGGAAGAGACAGGCCCCCACAUAUACUGUCCUCUGAUUUAUUACUAAAGUCCUACUGCAAUUUAGUGGGAGGAGGAAGAUCUUUUAAAUAAAUGGUAGAGAAAAAAAUGAACUAUAUCCCUACCUUACAUCAUCCGUAUAAAUUAAUUGGGGAUGGAGCAUAGACGUAUGUGUAAAAGGAUAAAGCUUUCAAAACAAACCAUGGGAGAAUAUCUUCAUAACCUUCAGGUAGGCAAAGAUUUCUUUUUCUUUUUCUUUUUUUCUUGAGACGGAGUUUUGCUCUCCGGGCCACCAUGCCCGGCUAGUUUUGUAUUUUUUAGUAGAGACGGGGUUUCUCCAUGUUGGUCAGGCUGGUCUCAAACUCCUGACCUCAGGUGAUCUGCCCACCUUGGCCUCCAAAAGUGCUGGGAUUACAGGCGUGAGCCACCGCGCCUGGCGAGGCAAAGACUUUUUAAACAGGGCAUAAGAAUAACUGAAAGAAAGACUAGUAAUUGACUUCAUUAAAAUAAAAAACUUCUCCUCAACCAGUCACAAACUUAAGACAGUAUAAAGGCAAACCGCAACUGGGGAGAGAAUGUUUGCAAUACAUAUUUUGGAAAAAGAACUCAUAACUGGACUAUAUCAUGAACCGUUUCAGAGCAAUUUUUUAAAAAGACUGACAACACAAGUUUCAAAAAGAUCAAAAGACUUGGAUAGGCAUUUUGCAAAAGAAGAUAUCCAAAUGGCUAAUAAACAUUUCUAAAAGUGUUCAACGUCAUUAUCUAUCAAGUACAGGCAAAUUAAAACUACCAUAAGGUAGCACCUCAUAUCCAUCUAAUUUUAGAAUGACUAAAGUGAAUAGGCUGAGAAAUCUAAGAGUUGGUGAAGAUAUAAAGAAACUAGGAGUCUCAUAUAUUGCUUAUGUGAGUAUAAAUUUCCAUAAACAUUUUAGAAAACUACUAGGCAGCAUCUACUAAAGCUAAGCAAACAUAUAAUGCAUGACUGGGCAACUCAGCUCCUGGGCUGAGUAUAUACCCAAGAGAAAUGAAUGCAUAUGUCCACUAAAAGACAUGUAUAUAGCAUACUCAUAGCAGCAUUAAUAGUAAUAGCCCCGAAUUUGAAGUGAACCAAAUGUUAGUCAACAGUAGAAUGAAUACAUUGUGGUAUAGUUGUAUCUGGAAUACUACACAGCAAUGACAAAUGAUUAACUGGAUGCAAUAACAUGGGUGAACCUCUCAUCUCCAGAUUACUUAUAAUAUCUAAUGCAAGGUAAAUGUUAUAUAAAUAAUUGUUAUAUUGUAUUGUUUAGGUAAUAACACACACACUCUAACACUCGCUCUGUUUUCCCCACAAUCCGCAGCAUGCAGCCUGCUGUGUCCACCUCACAUACGCACUGGACCUUGUCCUCACUGG
rnacentral:lncRNA from 1 species